rnacentral:rRNA from 1 species
AUUGAACGCUGGCGGCAUGCUUUACACAUGCAAGUCGAACGGUAACAGGCCGCAAGGUGCUGACGAGUGGCGAACGGGUGAGUAAUGCAUCGGAACGUGCCCAGUCGUGGGGGAUAACGUAGCGAAAGUUACGCUAAUACCGCAUACGAUCUAUGGAUGAAAGCGGGGGAUCGCAAGACCUCGCGCGGUUGGAGCGGCCGAUAUCAGAUUAGGUAGUUGGUGGGGUAAAGGCUCACCAAGCCAACGAUCUGUAGCUGGUCUGAGAGGACGACCAGCCACACUGGAACUGAGACACGGUCCAGACUCCUACGGGAGGCAGCAGUGGGGAAUUUUGGACAAUGGACGCAAGUCUGAUCCAGCCAUUCCGCGUGCAGGAUGAAGGCCCUCGGGUUGUAAACUGCUUUUGUACGGAACGAAAAGGUCUCCAUUAAUACUGGGGGCUCAUGACGGUACCGUAAGAAUAAGCACCGGCUAACUACGUGCCAGCAGCCGCCGUAACAC